rnacentral:pre_miRNA from 13 species
AGAUAUAUUAUAUAUUAGCUGCAGGCCAUUACUGUUGCUAACAUGCAACUCUGUUAUGUAUAAACUGGAAUUGCACUUUAGCAAUGGUGAUGGACUGUAAGUCAAUUUUUAAGAUUGCUA